rnacentral:rRNA from 1 species
GAGAGUGGAAUUCCACGUGUAGCGGUGAAAUGCGUAGAGAUGUGGAGGAACACCAGUGGCGAAGGCGACUCUCUGGUCUGUAACUGACGCUGAGGAGCGAAAGCGUGGGGAGCGAACAGGAUUAGAUACCCUGGUAGUCCACGCCGUAAACGAUGAGUGCUAAGUGUUAGGGGGUUUCCGCCCCUUAGUGCUGCAGCUAACGCAUUAAGCACUCCGCCUGGGGAGUACGGUCGCAAGACUGAAACUCAAAGGAAUUGACGGGGGCCCGCACAAGCGGUGGAGCAUGUGGUUUAAUUCGAAGCAACGCGAAGAACCUUACCAGGUCUUGACAUCCUCUGACAAUCCUAGAGAUAGGACGUCCCCUUCGGGGGCAGAGUGACAGGUGGUGCAUGGUUGUCGUCAGCUCGUGUCGUGAGAUGUUGGGUUAAGUCCCGCAACGAGCGCAACCCUUGAUCUUAGUUGCCAGCAUUCAGUUGGGCACUNUAAGGUGACUGCCGGUGACAAACCGGAGGAAGGUGGGGAUGACGUCAAAUCAUCAUGCCCCUUAUGACCUGGGCUACACACGUGCUACAAUGGUCAGAACAAAGGGCAGCGAAACCGCG